GUCUCAGUACUAGCCGAUUUUAAUUUUAUAUUAAAAGAAAUGGUGAAACCGCGAAAAGCUCAUUAAAUCGGCUUUGGUUCCUUAGAUAGUUUGCAGAAUUGAAAUUUUUUUCGAUUUCUUUCGAAAAAAAUUAAAAUGUCUGAUAUGGAUAACUGUGGUAAUUCUAGAGCUAAUACAUGAAAAUACUAUCAUUGAAGUGUGAAAAUCUGUAAAAAUGAACUGAUUUUUAUUUUACAUAGAAUGAAAGUUCUUUUUAUGGAAUAAUUUUUGCACGCUUUUAUUAGAGGAAAAAGCCAAUUUUAUAAGAAUUUUUCGAAUUUUAUUUGAAAAAUUUGUUUGAUCUUGAAAAUUAAUUCGACAAACGAAUUAAUUUGAUUGAUGUUGAAUCUGAAUAACUUGAAUGAAUCUUUUCUGAAAGUAUAUUAUUAGGAAAUUUUUCGCCUCUUAACGGAGAGUGGAAAAUUUUUGAAUAAUAUUAUACGAUUAGGGAAAGAUUUAAAGCAGACCGCAAAUAUUAAUUUAGGUCAUUUUAUUUGUACGUCAUUUGGUGUGUAAAAGCAUCAAAUCGUUCGUAAAAUGAUCGAUUGCGGCGUAUCUUUCAAUUGUCUGCCUUAUCAACUUUCGAUGGUAGAUUAUAUGUCUACCAUGGUUGUAACGGGUAACGGGGAAUCAGGGUUCGAUUCCGGAGAGGGAGCCUGAGAAACGGCUACCACAUCUAAGGAAGGCAGCAGGCACGCAAAUUACCCAAUCCCGGCACGGGGAGGUAGUGACGAUAAAUAACGAUCCGGAACUCUAAUGAGUUUCCGUAAUCGGAAUGAGUACAAUUUAAAUACUUUAACGAGGAACCAAUGGAGGGCAAGUCUGGUGCCAGCAGCCGCGGUAAUUCCAGCUCCAUUAGCAUAUAUUAAAUUUGUUGCGUUUAAAAAGCUCGUAGUUGAAUCUGUAUCUCAUACUGUCAAUCGCUCAUAAUUUCUAUUUAUGCAGUUUGACUUGACAAAAUUUAUUUUUAUUGUAUGAGAUAUGACUACUGGCGGAUUUUAUAAAAUUAUAUACAAAAANAUUGUGUCGUCAAAAGCACAAUUUUGCAUAUAUAAUUUUAAAAUUCGAUAUCGCGAUUAACGUUAAAAGUGAUUCAAAAGAAUUUAAUUCAGUUUACUUCUUUGAAAACAAGUCUGUGUCCGGG
rnacentral:rRNA from 1 species